CCAUUGUCUCUAACCCUACAGCCGCCAAAAACCUCCCGCAACACCCAGCAGCAGCAACGCUGCAAUGAGGAAGAAACGCACUCAACCUGCUUCCCUUCCUCCUUUCAUUCACACAUGAAACGGCAAUCAGACAGAGAGGAAGAUAGGGGUCCGAGAGAGCAGAGGAGAAGGUAGAGGGGCUACCGCCUCCCCGCCGCCGCCGCCGCCGUCGCAUGCACCGUCGCUCCGUGGAGCCGCGCCUUGCCGCCGGACUACCUUUGAUCUGCCACACGCGUCGUCACCAUAGAGAGAGGGAGCAACGCAAUUGAAGAGAGGAGGAGGAAGGAGACCCGUGCGCUGUCGAAGCCCGCUUCGUCACCGUCGUUGAGGUCCUCACCAUCACCGCCGCUGUGCCAUGGAGAAGAGAGAACCCGCGUCGCACCUCAGUCACUGCUAACCCGCCAGAGCAGAGACACGCGAGGGAGGAGGACGCCGUCAGGAGCGCCGCGCCGCUGCCGCUGUCUGUGCCGUCUUCGUCGUCGCCGGUUCCCUUGCCGCCGCCGUCGUUGACGAGUCCAGCCGCCGCCAUCACCUCUCCAUUUUUGUUGAUGGUGGUCAGCCGCCGGGUCGUGCAGAGGAGAGGAGGCAGAACCGCGCCAAGCCACCGCCGCUUCUGCCGCUAAGAAACCCCGCUGUGCCUCUGGUUGCCGGGAAACGGUGUGGUUGCUGCAGGAGGUCGCUGCCAAAGCUGCUGCUCCAUUCUGCCAUUCCUUUUCAUCAUAGUAAGUCUCCUGCGCUCUGAAACUCAAACAGUAAUCGUGUUCUAUUUAUCUGCGGUUAAGGAUUCGGAUGAAUAUAUGUUGUAAGGUUAAUUUUAUGGGGUUUCAUGUCAAAUAUUGAGGUUUGUUGCUGAGCCUCUGGAGCUUCUAGCCACUGAUGGAGCCACUGCCGGGUUGACGUGGAGCUGUGGCUGCUUCAUUUUGUUAAUUCACUGUUUCUGCUUUUGAGAGAGAGCAAGUAGAGCCGAGGUUUUGAUUGCCGGUGAUUUCGGUUUGAUAGAGAGUUCCGGUGACGCGUUUGGAUUAUGGUUUUGCAUUUUGAGGAUAUGGAUGCAGAAGUCACGAAGAGCUUAUAUAGUUGUUGUCGUGAUGUUUUGUAUUGCUCUAGUUAUUACUUAUUGUUCCUCGCCUUUAUCUAUAUGUAUUCUGUAAGAGGGAUAGGAAUUGUAUUGGAUAAUAUAUAUAUAUAUAUACUCUUUGAGAGUUUUUGUAAGUUGUAGUGUGUAUGGAUGUAUGUUGUAUAGCAAAAGUAUUUUUAGAUUGGUAUUGCGGUUUAAAGUUUUAAACAGGCUCAUAUUUUAGUAUUAAAUCGUAUAAGAGUUGUCGUAAUGUCCGAGCUAUCAGAGUAGCGCAGCCGGAAGCGUGAGCUUUGAUAGUUAGAGGGUUACAAUUGUUUUUGUUAAACUUGAACUAACUUGUAUAGACUUAUAUGCUAAAAAAAACUUGUAUGUGUAGCAAGUUUUUUUAGAAGAUAAUUCUAACAUGAUAACUUUUGGUGACAAAACUAAGAUAUUAAA